GGACCCGCACAAGCGGUGGAGCAUGUGGUUUAAUUCGAUGCAACGCGAAAAACCUUACCUACUCUUGACAUACUUGGGAGCUCUUGUAAUGAGAGUGUGCCUUUUGGAACCAAGAUACAGGUGCUGCAUGGCUGUCGUCAGCUCGUGUCGUGAGAUGUUCCGUUAAGUCGGAUAACGAGCGCAACCCUUACCCUUAUUUGCCAGCGAUUCGGUCGGGAACUAUAAGGGGACUGCCGGUGAUAAACCGGAGGAAGGUGAGGACGACGUCAAGUCAUCAUGGCCCUUACGAGUAGGGCUACACACGUGCUACAAUGGGGAAUACAGACGGACGCUAAGCCGCGAGGUGGUGCUAAUCCUAGAAAGUUUCUCGUAGUCCGGAUUGGAGUCUGCAACUCGACUCCAUGAAGUCGGAAUCGCUAG
rnacentral:rRNA from 1 species